rnacentral:rRNA from 1 species
UACGUAGGGGGCGAGCGUUGUCCGGAAUCAUUGGGCGUAAAGCGCGCGCAGGCGGCCGCGAGAGCCCGGCGUGAAAGCCCCCGGCUCAACCGGGGGAGGCCGUCGGGGACCUCGUGGCUGGAGGCCGGCAGGGGUGAGUGGAAUUCCCGGUGUAGUGGUGGAAUGCGUAGAGAUCGGGAGGAACACCAGUGGCGAAGGCGGCUCACUGGGCCGGACCUGACGCUGAGGCGCGAAAGCGUGGGGAGCGAUCCGG